UACGUAGGGUGCGAGCGUUAAUCGGAAUUACUGGGCGUAAAGCGUGCGCAGGCGGUGAUGUAAGACAGGCGUGAAAUCCCCGGGCUUAACCUGGGAACUGCAUUGGUGACUGGCAGGCUUUGAGUGUGGCAGAGGGAGGUAGAAUUCCACGUGUAGCAGUGAAAUGCGUAGAGAUGUGGAGGAAUACCGAUGGCGAAGGCAGCCUCCUGGGCCAACACUGACGCUCAUGCACGAAAGCGUGGGAGCAAACAGG
rnacentral:rRNA from 1 species